rnacentral:rRNA from 1 species
UGAUCCUGGCUCAGAUUGAACGCUGGCGGCAUGCUUUACACAUGCAAGUCGAACGGCAGCGGGGGCUUCGGCCUUGCCGGCGAGUGGCGAACGGGUGAGUAAUACAUCGGAACGUGUCCUUAAGUGGGGAAUAACGUCGAAAGAUGUGAAUACCGCAUAUCUCUGGAGAAAAGCAGGGGAUCGCAAGACCUUGCGCUAAAGGAGCGGCCGAUGUCUGAUUAGCUAGUUGGUGGGGUAAAGGCUUACCAAGGCAACGAUCAGUAGUUGGUCUGAGAGGACGGCCAACCACACUGGGACUGAGACACGGCCCAGACUCCUACGGGAGGCAGCAGUGGGGAAUUGGACAAUGGGCGGCCUGAUCCAGCCAUGCCGCGUGAGUGAAGAAGGCCGGGUUGUAAAGCUCUUUUAGUCGGAAAGAAAGAGUUGCAAUGAAUAAUUGUGAKUUAUGACGGUACCGACAGAAAAAGCACCGGCUAACUGUGCCAGCAGCCGGUACGUAGGGUGCGAGCGUAUCGGAAUUACUGGCGUNAAGCGUGCGCAGGCGGUUGAAGUCAGAUGUGAAACCCCGGGCUAACCUGGGAAUGCRUUAAACUACAAGGCUAGAGUGCAGCAGAGGGGAGUGGAAUUCCAUGUGUAGCAGUGAAAUGCGUAGAGAUGUGGAAGAACACCGAUGGCGAAGGCAGCUCCCUGGGUUGACACUGACGCUCAUGCACGAAAGCGUGGGGAGCAAACAGGAUUAGAUACCCUGGUAGUCCACGCCCUAAACGAUGUCAACUAGUUGUCGGAUCUAAUUAAGGAUUUGGUAACGUACGUAACGCGUGAAGUUGACCGCCUGGGGAGUACGGUCGCAAGAUUAAAACUCAAAGGAAUUGACGGGGACCCGCACAAGCGGUGGAUUAUGUGGAUUAAUUCGAUGCAACGCGAAAAACCUUACCUACCCUUGACAUGCUUGGAAUCUAAUGGAGACAUAAGAGUACCCGAAAGGGAGCCAAGACACAGGUGCUGCAUGGCUUCGUCAGCUCGUGUCGUGAGAUGUUGGGUUAAGUCCCGCAACGACGCAACCCUUGUACUAAUUGCAUCAUUUUUAAUGAGCACUUUAGUGAGACUGCCGGUACAAACCGGAGGAAGGUGGGGAUGACGUAAGUCCUAGCCCUAUGGGUGGGCUCACACGUAUAC